rnacentral:rRNA from 1 species
GGGUGAGUAACACGUGGAUAACCUACCUAUAAGACUGGGAUAACUUCGGGAAACCGGAGCUAAUACCGGAUAAUAUUUUGAACCGCAUGGUUCAAAAGUGAAAGACGGUCUUGCUGUCACUUAUAGAUGGAUCCGCGCUGCAUUAGCUAGUUGGUAAGGUAACGGCUUACCAAGGCAACGAUGCAUAGCCGACCUGAGAGGGUGAUCGGCCACACUGGAACUGAGACACGGUCUAG